ensembl:lncRNA
CACUGAUUCUCUUUCAUUUUGCGGGGCAGGGGGCAAGGGGGGAAAACACUGUGUGGCAUGAGGGAGCUUAGUUUCCCAACCAGGGCCAGAACCUGUGCCCCCUGCAUUGGGAGCACGGAGUCAACCGCUGGACCAUUAGGGAAGUCCCUUCAUGGAUUUCUAAGCCAGUUUAUCUCCCCAUCGUAAACACUCUCUGGGACUUUGUGCUUCUCUCUUUGGAGAAAAUGUCUCAAUUAUAAAAUUGUCUGACUUGUUUAAUGUCUGUUUCUCCCACUUAGUAGCUGGCAAGCUCCACAGAGGCAAGGACUAGGCUUGUCUUGCAGUCUUCGUGCCUGACUUGAUAACCAGCACAUAGUUUCUUGAAAGUCCUAGAGAAAAAUCAAUUGUGAUGCAAUAUCAUCCAUAAGCAUCAAAAUGCUACUUUUCCUUGGGGCAGAUUGGAGACAGUGAUGGGCUCCAAAGUGAAUUUCCAAAGACCUUUGGAGACAAGCAAGGAGAAACAUAAGAACAGCACCAAGAACUCCGAGUUCACUGUCAUUUUCACCGUGCAUGAGAGUUGUUGAAUGAAACGUGUUUCCUAGUAUAGAGGAAGCCGGUCAGUAGUAGGGGGCAAGAGGCUUUGUGCAGGGCGCAAUGGUUACCCUCAGAAGCUUCUCACACUAGCAGCCUCUCUCUCCCAUCAAACUAAGUCAGCCCUGCACGCAUGACCUCUGCCUGAUGACAUGGACACAUGCAGGAGAUCUCACGCUUGAAGCUGCCUGCUCCAGAGCUAUAUUGGGCUUCCUUAGUAGCUCAGACAGUAGAGCAUCUGCCUGCAAUGCAGGAGACCCAGGUUCAAUCCUUGGUUCGGGAAGAUCCCCUGGAGAAGGAAAUGGCAACCCAUUCCCAUCUUCUUGCCUGGAGAAUUCCAUGAACAGAGGAGCCUGGCAGGCUACAGUCCAUGGUGUCGCAAAAAGUUGGACACAACUAAGCGACUAACAAACAAGCACGCAUGGGUGCGUGCACACACACAGCUAUAUUACACAAUUCCAUCUAAUCUGAUUUAGGUGAUACAAUCGUUAUGUUGAUGAAAAUAAUCAAUAAACAAUCUAUGAGAAGAACGAAAAAGAACUUCAUCUGAGCCAAACUGAAGACUAUAGCCCAGAGACAGAUUUGAGAGGCACUUGAGUUGUGUUCUGCCAGACUACAAAAUGAGGGAGGCUUAUAAAAGGCAAAGCCCACAAAACUGAUAAGUUGUUUGUCAACAAUUAGGAUUGGAGCUGGCAAAAAUUUAGUUUGCUUAUUCAGCGAGGAUUGGUUGGGGUUCAAAAUGGUGACAUAGUUAUGGGGGAGGCGUUGAGACCAUAAAGUUGCAGCUGCUAGCAGCCAUUGUUUUGAGAAAGGCUGGUGGUGUCCUUGAGUCUGAUUACAGUUCUGAAAACUCAGGUUCUCAGUAACGAAGGAACGUGUCUGAAACCACAUCCACAAUGGCCAUCAGACUUUGUUCUGAAUGCCUGAACCACAUUUUGAGUUUUCAAAUGCAUUGUUUUCUUUCAUGGUUAUAGCAUAUGCGCAAUGCACGUUUAAUAGGCCACAAAAUAGGCUGUUCUAGGUAGCAUAAGGUUUAAAUUAAAUCAAGUUUAAGACAAAAUGACUUUCUCAUACCUCAGUGUGAACAUUUCUUCCAUCAGUAACAAAAAGGAAAUAGUUUUUAGAAGCUUUUCAUUGUGUUUAGAUCGAUGUGGAAGCACGUCUGUUUAAAUUUAUUAUAAAAGUCUUCAGAAAGGGAGUCAAAUUAUAAUUGCCAUUGCAGAAACAAAGACUGCUGGGAUUUUAUAUUUUGGAAAACCUAGAGAAGCAGGAAAAGAAUUUUAAAAUGUUCAUUUUGAAUUAACAUCUCAACAUUUCAAUUUAUGAGGUCAUAAAUGCAAUUAACGAAACAAAAGAAGUAAUCAUUUCUUUUGAGCUACUACAAUGCUUUGAGCUCAUUCUUUACAUAUUGCCUUUAAAUUAUUUUAUACGGAAAUGUUCAAUUAUACACAAAAGUAGAGGAUAUAGUAUAAUAAGC